rnacentral:lncRNA from 1 species
AAAGCAGAAGCCUGGAUAUGUGUUUCACCUCAUUUCCAUUUCAUACCCUGGUCUUAACCUUCAAGUUGGUGCUAUUCAAUUCAGGGAACCCCAGGAUUACCUGGCCCACCAGGACCAAUGGGACCUCCAGGAGACAGAGGCUUCACUGGAAAAGACGGUGCAAUGGGACCCAGGGGCCCACCAGGGCCGCCGGGAAGCCCAGGCUCCCCAGGAGUCACAGGACCAAGUGGGAAGCCAGGAAAACCUGGAGAUCAUGGCAGACCAGGUCCAUCUGGGUUGAAAGGAGAAAAAGGUGAUAGGGGAGACAUUGCUUCCCAGAACAUGAUGCGAGCAGUUGCAAGACAAGUCUGUGAACAAUUGAUAAGUGGUCAGAUGAACAGAUUCAAUCAGAUGCUGAAUCAGAUUCCAAAUGAUUACCAGUCCAGUCGCAACCAGCCAGGCCCGCCGGGUCCACCGGGACCUCCUGGUAGCGCAGGAGCCAGAGGAGAACCUGGGCCUGGGGGGCGGCCAGGCUUCCCGGGCACACCAGGGAUGCAGGGACCCCCUGGGGAACGAGGUUUGCCAGGAGAGA